AACGAACGCUGGCGGCAUGCCUAACACAUGCAAGUCGAACGAUGCCUUCGGGCUUAGUGGCGCACGGGUGCGUAACGCGUGGGAAUCUGCCCUUGGCUUCGGAAUAACAGAUAGAAAUGACUGCUAAUACCGGAUGAUGUCCCCCUGAGAGAUCUUGGGGACCACAGGUUUAUCGGCCAGGGAUGGGCCCGCGUAGGAUUAGGUAGUUGGUGGGGUAAAGGCCUACCAAGCCGACGAUCCUUAGCUGGUCUGAGAGGAUGAUAAGCCACACUGGGACUGAGACACGGCCCAGACUCGUACGGGAGGCAGCAGUGGAGAAUAUUGGACAAGGGAGGGAACCCUGAUCCAGCAAUGCCGCGUGAGUGAUGAAGCCCUUAGGGUUGUAAAGCUCUUUUACCAGGGAUGAUAAUGACAGUACCUGGAGAAUAAGCUCCGGCUAACUCCGUG
rnacentral:rRNA from 1 species